rnacentral:rRNA from 1 species
CGCACGGUAAACGAUGGAUGCCCGCUGUUGGCCCAUGUGGUCAGCGGCCAAGCGAAAGCGUUAAGCAUCCCACCUGGGGAGUACGCCGGCAACGGUGAAACUCAAAGGAAUUGACGGGGGCCCGCACAAGCGGAGGAACAUGUGGUUUAAUUCGAUGAUACGCGAGGAACCUUACCCGGGCUUGAAUUGCAGACGAACGCGGCAGAGAUGCCAAGGCCCUUCGGGGCGUCUGUGAAGGUGC